rnacentral:rRNA from 1 species
UACAGAGGGGGCAAGCGUUGUUCGGAAUUACUGGGCGUAAAGGGCGCGUAGGCGGCCCGCUAAGUCGAACGUGAAAUCCCCGAGCUCAACUCGGGAACUGCGUCCGAUACUGGCGGGCUUGAAUCCGGGAGAGGGAUGCGGAAUUCCUGGUGUAGCGGUGAAAUGCGCAGAUAUCAGGAAGAACACCCGUGGCUAAGGCGGCUCUCUAGUACGGUACUGACGCUGAGACGCGAAAGCGUGGGGAGCGAACAGG